GAAUUCCUUACAGCAAUUAAAUCAAUUCACUCAUUUGAAAAACCUUGGAUUCUG
rnacentral:other from 1 species